rnacentral:rRNA from 1 species
UACGGAGGAUGCAAGUGUUAUCCGGAUUCAUUGGGUUUAAAGGGUGCGCAGGCGGGGAUGUAAGUCAGUGGUGAAAAGCUGCCGCUUAACGGUAGUCUUGCCAUUGAUACUGCAUUUCUUGAGUAUGGUUAAGGUAGGCGGAAUGUGCAGUGUAGCGGUGAAAUGCAUAGAGAUUGCACAGAACUCCGAUUGCGAAGGCAGCUUACUGAGCCAUAACUGACGCUGAGGCACGAAAGCGUGGGGAGCGAACAGGAUUAGAUACCCUGGUAGUCCACGCCGUAAACGAUGUUCACUCGCUGUUUGCGAUAUACAGUAAGCGGCUUAGUUAAAGCAUUAAGUGAACCACCUGGGGAGUACGAUCGCAAGGUUGAA